GCUUUAACGAGUAUCCAUUGGAGGGCAAGUCUGGUGCCAGCAGCCGCGGUAAUUCCAGCUCCAAAAGUAUAUAUUUAAGUUGUUGCGGUUAAAAAGCUCGUAGUUGGAUUUUGGGCGCAGGCGGCCGGUCCGUCGCAAGGCGUGUACUGGACGUCCUGGCCUUCCCUCCGGUUCUCCGCCGGUGCUCUUGACUGAGUGUCGGCGGCGGCCGGAACGUUUACUUUGAAAAAAUUAGAGUAUUCAAAGCAGGCUCUCGAGCCUGGAUAAUGGUGCAUGGAAUAAUGGAAUAGGACCUCGGUUCUAUUUUGUUGGUUUUCGGAGCGCGAGGUAAUGAUUAAGAGGGACAGACGGGGGCAUUCGUACUGUGCCGUUAGAGGUGAAAUUCUUGGAUCGGCGCAAGACGAACGACUGCGAAAGCAUUUGCCAAGAAUGUUUUCUUUAAUCAAGAGCGAAAGUCAGAGGUUCGAAGACGAUCAGAUACCGUCCUAGUUCUGACUAUAAACGAUGCCAACUAGCGAUCGGGGGGCGUUACAUUGACGACCCCUCCGGCAGCUUACGGGAAACCAAAGUCUUUGGGUUCCGGGGGAAGUAUGGUUGCAAAGCUGAAACUUAAAGGAAUUGACGGAAGGGCACCACCAGGAGUGGAGCCUGCGGCUUAAUUUGACUCAACACGGGAAAUCUCACCCGGCCCGGACACAGUGAGGAUUGACAGAUUGAGAGCUCUUUCUUGAUUCU
rnacentral:ncRNA from 1 species